rnacentral:rRNA from 1 species
UACAGAGGGCUCAAGCGUUGUUCGGAUUCAUUGGGCGUAAAGGGUGCGUAGGUGGUUGGGUAAGUCAAAUGUGAAAUCCCGGAGCUCAACUCCGGAACUGCAUUCGAUACUGCCCGGCUCGAGGAUUGGAGAGGAGACUGGAAUUCACGGUGUAGCAGUGAAAUGCGUAGAGAUCGUGAGGAACACCCGUGGCGAAGGCGGGUCUCUGGACAAUUCCUGACACUGAGGCACGAAGGCCAGGGGAGCAAACGGG